UUUAACUGAGCGUUCAGUUACUUGACGUAGACCCGAAACCGGGCGACCUACCCAUGAGCAGGAUGAAGCGAAAGUAAAAUUUCGUGGAGGUCCGAACCCACGAGCGUUGAAAAGCUCGGGGAUGACUUGUGGGUAGCGGUGAAAUUCCAAUCGAGCCCGGAGAUAGCUGGUUCUCCCCGAAAUAGCUUUAGGGCUAGCCUCAAGGUGAGAGAUACGGAGGUAGAGCACUGAAUGUCCUAGGGGGUAUUGCACCUACCGAAGACUAUCAAACUCCGAAUGCCGUCAUCUUAUACUUGGGAGUCAGACUGUGGGUGAUAAGAUUCAUAGUCGAAAGGGCAACAGCCCAGAUCGUCAGCUAAGGUCCCUAAAUGUAAGUUAAGUGGUAAAGGAUGUGGGAUUGCACAGACAACCAGGAUGUUGGCUUAGAAGCAGCCACUCAUUCAAAGAGUGCGUAAUAGCUCACUGGUCGAGUGAUCCUGCGCCGAAGAUUUCCGGGGCUAAAACUUACUACCGAAGCUACGGCAUCAGUAAUGAUGGGUAGGGGAGCUUCCCAUACGGGUUGAAGCAUGACCGUAAGGACAUGUGGACAGUAUGGGAGUGAGAAUGUUGGCAUGAGUAGCGAGAUGUGGGUGAGAAUCCCACAGGCCGUAAACCCAAGGUUUCCAGGGGAAGGUUCGUCCGCCCU
rnacentral:rRNA from 1 species